CACGUAGGGCGCAAGCGUUGUCCGGAAUUAUUGGGCGUAAAGAGCUCGUAGGCGGUCUGUUGCGUCCGCUGUGAAAACUCGGGGCUUAACCCCGCAGCCUGCAGUGGAUACGGGCAGACUAGAGGUAGGUAGGGGAGAAUGGAAUUCCCGGUGUAGCGGUGAAAUGCGCAGAUAUCGGGAGGAACACCGGUGGCGAAGGCAGGUCUCUGGGCCGAUACUGACGCUGAGGAGCGAAAGCGUGGGGAGCGAACAGG
rnacentral:rRNA from 1 species